rnacentral:lncRNA from 1 species
CUCUGUCGCCCAGGCUGGAGUACAGUGGUGCGAUCUCGGCUCACUGCAACCUCCGCCUCCUGGGUUCAAGCAAUUCUCCUACCUCAGCCUCCCAAGUAGCCAUGGAUUACAGUGUUGGGAGGUUUCCAGGCUUAACUUUCACUUGAGUUUGGCCAGUCAUGAGACUUUUUAAUUUCCUUUAUACCUCGUGUAUUGUUUUAAGGAUUUGAAAUAAGAUAGUUUCAUUGGCAGAUACUUAGUAUGUGCCUGCUGUCUAUCAGAGUUUCUCAACCUCAGCACUGCUGACAUUUGGGGCAGGAUCACUCUUUGUUGUGGGGGGCUGUCCUGUGCAUUGUAGGACAUUUAGCACAAUCUGGGCUGUACCCAUUAAAUGCCAGCAGUACCUCUCCUGUGACAAUGAAAAGUGUCUCCAGGCUGAGCAUGGUGGCUCACACCUGUAAUUCCAACACUUUGGGAGGCCAAGGUGGGUGGAUCACUUGAGGUUGGAAGUUCGAGACUAGCCUGGCCAACAUAGAGAAACACCGUCUCUAUUAAAAAUACAAAAAUUAGCCAGGCAUGGUGGCAGGCACCUGUAAUCCCAGCUACUUGGGAGGCUAAGGCAGGAGAAUCGCUUGAACCCAGGAGGCAGUGUUGCAGUGAGCCGAGAUCACGCCACUGCACUCCAUCCUGGGCGACAGAGCAACACUCUGUCUCAAAAAAAAAAGAAAGAAAGAACAGUGUCUCCAGACAUUACCAAAUGUCUCUGGGGGAUUUUGUCCCCAAGUUGGUGACCAUUGCUGUUUGCAAAGUUCUCUUCUGGAGCUGGGAAUACAGCACUGAAAGCUUCAGACAGUUCCUACCUUUGUGGAGACUAUGUUCUAGUUGGGGGAGACAAACGUGUAAACCAAUAAAUGAGACCCCUUCAAGUGUGAUAAUAGCCUUAUUUUCUUCCUAGCACUUAUUUCUACCAUUGUCUGAGAGGUAUUUCAGAGGAUCGUUUUAAACAGCCCCAGGACUAGUACUAGGACUAGGACUUAGCUCUUUCUAGUUGACUGGAAGCGUGACAUUCGAGGUUUGGUGUGGGACCUCAUCCCCUGAACUUUGGUUUUCUUUGCAGCUAUAGAGGAAAUCAAAGAGAAAAUGAAGACUGUAAAACACAAAAUCUUGGUAUUGUCUGGGAAAGGCGGUGUUGGGAAAAGCACAUUCAGCGCCCACCUUGCCCAUGGCCUAGCAGAGGAUGAAAACACACAGGUGAGACCUCAGGAACCACUGGGAGAUGCUCAUUUUGUCUGAGGGUCGUGAUGGCUACUAAAUAACUGAUUCCUAGGCCAGGCGCAGUGGUUCAUGCCUGUAAUCCCAGCACUUUGGGAGGCCAAGGCGGGCAGAUCACUUGAGGCCAGGAGUUUGAGAUCAGCCUGGCCAACAUGGCAAAACCUUGUCUCUACUAAAAAUACAAAAUAUUAGCUGGGCGUGGUAGCGCAGGCUUGUAAUCCCAGCUUUUCGCGAGGAUGAGCCAUGAGAAUCGCUUGAGCCCAGGAGGCAGAGGUUGCAGUGAGUCAAGAUUGUACCAGUGUACUCCAGCCUGGGUGGCAGAAUGAGACUGUCCAAG